rnacentral:misc_RNA from 1 species
CUGUAAGGAAGGAGCCGGUAUCAGGCACAGAUUCCUAGCCCACGACACCUAGCACCGCCACACCCCCAAGGGCACUCAGCAGUGAUAAACUUUGAUGAUAAGCGACAGCUUGACUCAGUUAAAGUACAGAAAGCCGGCCAACCCGGUGCCAGCCGCCGCGGCUACACCAUCGGGCUUAAGUUAAUAACCACAGCGUUAAGCGUGUUUAAAGAACAUAUUUAUUUAGAAUUAAAUCCGGCCAAGACUGUGAUACGUACGCCCCGCAGAAACACAAAUGAAAGUUAUUCUAAUAUUCACUUGAAUCCACGACAAUUAAGAAACAAACUGGGAUUAGAUACCCCACUAUGCUUAAUCGUAAAAUAUAUUAAUUACACCCUUAAUCGCCAGAGUACUACGAGUAGCCAACUUAAAACUCAAAGGACUUGACGGCGUCUCACCUUCCUAGAGGAGCCUGUUCUAUAAUCGAUAUUCCCCGAUACACCUAACCACUUUUUGCUAAUCAGUCUGUAUACCUCCGUCGCAAGCUCACCAUAUGAAUGUUAAUUAGUGAGCAUAAAGAUUUUUACACCAACACGUCAGGUCAAGGUGCAACCUACAAAGUGGAAAGCAAUGGGCUACAGUUUCUAAUUUAGAACACACGAAUAGUCAUAUGAAAAAUGACAAUGAAGGAGGAUUUAGAAGUAAGGGGCAAACAGAGCGUCCCCCUUAACCAAGCAAUGAGACAUGUACACACCGCCCGUCACCCUCUUCAAUUAAAUUAUUUACGUUUAUAACAAUAUACUUUAUUAAAGAAGAGAUAAGUCGUAACAUGGUAAGCAUACUGGAAAGUGUGCUUGGAACAACAAAAUAUAGCUUAACCAAAGCAUUUCGCUUACACCGAAAUUAUAUCUGUCCAAACCAGAUUAUUUUGAGCCAUAAACUCAGCCAAUUAAAUACUUAAAUAUAAAUAUAUACAUGUAUAUCAUAAAACAUUUUGACAACCUAGUAAAGGCGAUUGAAAAUUUAAUAAGAGCUACAUACACAGUACCGCAAGGGAAAAGUGAAACAGAAAUGAAAUAAACAAAAAGCCCAUAAAAGCAGAGAUUUAUACUUGUACCUUUUGCAUCAUGGUCUAGCUAGUCUUAAUAAGCAAAUUAUACUAUUAAGCUUAUACCCCCGAAACCCGGCGAGCUACUUAAAAAUAGCUCUUAGAGCCAACCCGUCUCUGUUGCAAAAGAGUGGGAAAAUUUUUAAGUAGAGGUGACAUGCCUACCGAGCCAGGAGAUAGCUGGUUGCUCAAGAAAAGAAUAUAAGUUCUCCCUCAAAUUUUAAAUAUAAUUUUAAAUACAUAAUUUGAGAGUUAUUCAAAUACGGUACAGCCUAUUUGACACCGGAUACAACCAAAAAUUAAGGGUAAUGUAAACUAUAACUUUAAUUAAGUUGGCCUAAAAGCAGCCACCUUUCAAAUAGCGUCGCAGCUUAACUAAAAAUAUUUUAAAUACCUGUUAUUACACAAAACCCCAACUCCAAUAUUGAGCACCUUUAUAAUUUAUAAAAAUUAUAAUGCUAGAACUAGUAACAAGAAAACUUCUCUUAAGUGUAAGUAUAUAUCAAACACGAUUUUUACUAUUAUAAUUGUAAUAACCCCCCCCCCGAAACCCUUAUUAAUUUUCCCCGCCCCACUAUUAAACUUACAUAAGAACACUACAAGAAAGAUUUAAACAAAAAGAAGGAACUCGGCAAACCUUAGUCUCGCCUGUUUACCAAAAACAUCGCCUCUUGAUAAAUUAUAAGAGGCCCAGCCUGCCCAGUGAUUAUUUCAACGGCCGCGGUACCCUAACCGUGCGAAGGUAGCACAAUCACUUGUUCUUUAAAUAAGGACUCGUAUGAACGGCACCACGAAGACUAUACUGUCUCCUUUCUGCAAUCAGUGAAACUGAUCUUCCCGUGAAGAAGCGGGAAUUAUUUUAUAAGACGAGAAGACCCCAUGAAGCUUUAAAUAAAUAGCAACUGCUACCCCAACACCAUCUCAACCUAGCAGGUAUGUCUAUUAAUUUUAGGUUGGGGCGACCACGGAGUAAAACAAAACCUCCACAAUGAAAAGACCUUAUACCCCCCUAAUCCAAGAACAACAGUUCUAACAAUCAAAAUAUUGACAUAAAUUGACCCAAAUCUUUGAUCAAUGAACCAAGUUACUCUGGGGAUAACAGCGCUAUCCAUUUCAAGAGCCCCUAUCAACAAAUGGGUUUACGACCUCGAUGUUGGAUCAGGGUAUCCUAGUGGUGCAGCCGCUACUAAAGGUUCGUUGUCAACGAUAAU